CGGAGGGUGCUAGCGUUGUUCGGAAUUACUGGGCGUAAAGGGCGCGUAGGCGGCCGUUUGCGUCGGAUGUGAAAGCCCGGGGCUCAACCUCGGAACGGCAUUCGAUACGGGACGGCUGGAGACCGGGAGAGGAGAGUGGAAUAGCCAGUGUAGAGGUGAAAUUCGUAGAUAUUGGCUGGAACACCGGUGGCGAAAGCGGCUCUCUGGCCCGGUUCUGACGCUGAGGCGCGAAAGCUAGGGUAGCAAACGGG
rnacentral:rRNA from 1 species